CUUGCUUUUUACAAAGGGAGAAGAGUUCAUCCUCUUUAACUUUUGUCCUGAAAGAGCCAAAGAUAAAAUCAAGAGCAGUUCUGAUGAAUACAGGGUGCCUAGUUAUCAGCAUGGAUAUAAAACUUGCUCAUAUACCAAGGGGCAGAUUGCUUCACUCAAACACCAAUCACAGAGUUGCAAGGAGCCUCCACCCCACUGCAUGCCCAAUGCAAAGACUGGUCACGCUGCCCAUCUUUCUGCUCUCAUGAAAUGCAGAAAAAAAAUCUUGACAAUAUUAGUGGGUCAUUUUGUGCUUAUUGGGAAGGUUUGCUUAAAGGCUGGUGCCAGGAUUGGCUCUCCUUUGGCUGCUAGGGAACUUUCUAAUGGGUGCUCACUUUCAUGUUUCCAUGCAAUGGUGGUGUGGCCCUGUGGGUCUCCAGGAUAGUGAGAGAGGGUGAGUGAGGUAAUACCACUGACGAUGGGCCACUACCUCGCCCACCUUGUGCGCUCAUUUCAAGACACAGCACCUAUCCGCAAGUUUCUCUUGCUCUUUCGCAGGGAAAACUGCCCUCAUUCGGCCUGAAUAAGCCCGGGCGAAGGUUGUUUACAUAAACCCACGUGUAGCUGCGGGACUAGAGGCCCAGGGAACUCCUAGCGAGCAAACCUAGCUCGUUAGAGGCAGGUGUAGGACCCUGCGGGAGCGGACACCACCGCGAUUGCAAGAAGGGGAUUCUGUGCCCCGCGUCCCCUGCCCUGGCUUGGGCCGCUUGUGCGGCGCUCUUCGUUUCCGUUAAAGAGCUGACUGCUCAAUACGGAAGAGGGGCUGCUUCCCCCAUGCUCUCCCGCAGCUACGGGCUCACCCCUCCGGCUCGCCCCGUUAGCCCGCGACCCGGCUGGGAAACCCGCCCAGGAGCCCGCCGCCGGGGCGAGGGAGAGGCAGCGGCUGCAGCCAGCGGAGGAGCCCAGGGUCUGAGGGUCUGUAGGAAGCUCUUCAGUAGGACUGGAUUAUUUUGGAUCACUCGCUGCACUCUCCGGAAGGUCCUGCUAUGCUGCAUCCAGGCAUCCCAAUGGACCCAAAAUACUCAUGAAGCUGUGAGAGCUUGGCAGGGAGACAUGGACUCUCAAGCUUCUCUUCCUUCCUCUCUCCCUCCCUCCCUCCCUUUAGAAGACUGA
rnacentral:lncRNA from 1 species